GUCCGCCUAGCUCAAUAGGAUAGAGCGUCAGACUUCUAAGUCUGGAGGUUGUGAGUUCGACUCUCGCGGCGGGUG